rnacentral:rRNA from 1 species
GAUGAACGCUGGCGGCGUGCUUAACACAUGCAAGUCGAGCGAGAAGUUUUGAAAAGAUUCUUCGGAUGAAAUUUAAAAUGGAAAGCGGCGGACGGGUGAGUAACGCGUAGGCAACCUGCCCCACACAAAGGGAUAGCAUUUGGAAACGAAUAUUAAUACCUUAUGAAACUUAACUAGUGCAUGCUAGGUAGGUCAAAGAUUUAUCGGUAUGGGAUGGGCCUGCGUCUGAUUAGCUAGUUGGUGAGGUAACGGCUCACCAAGGCGACGAUCAGUAGCCGACCUGAGAGGGUGAACGGCCACAUUGGAACUGAGACACGGUCCAAACUCCUACGGGAGGGAGCAGUGGGGAAUAUUGCACAAUGGGGGAAACCCUGAUGCAGCAACGCCGCGUGAACGAUGAAGGCCUUUGGGUCGUAAAGUUCUGUUCUAGGUGAUGAAAACUGACAGUAACCUAGGAGAAAGCCCCGGCUAACUCCGUG